rnacentral:rRNA from 1 species
GUGAGUAGUUCAGAGUUUGAUCCUGGCUCAGAACGAACGCUGGCGGCAGGUCUUAGGCAUGCAAGUCGAACGGGUGAAACAGGUGCUUGCACUUGUGGAUCUAGUGGCGCACGAGUGAGUAACGCGUGGGAAACUGCCCACUACUGGGGGAUAACGUUUGGAAACGAACGCUAAUACCGCAUACGCCGGAAACGGGAAAGAUUUAUCGGUGGUGGAUGUGCCCGCGUUGGAUUAGCUUGUUGGUGGGGUAACGGCCUACCAAGGCGAUGAUCCAUAGCUGGUCUGAGAGGACGAUCAGCCACGCUGGAACUGAGACACGGUCCAG